rnacentral:lncRNA from 1 species
AGAGAGAGUAGAAAACAAAAGAAAGUGGAAGAAAUAUAUGGCGUUAGGAUUGAUCAAGGACUUUAUUCAAGUACGUGGAGCUUAACUAUUUCAAUGGUGACGUGGAUAAGUACGUGGACAAUUAGUUAUUUCUGGUAGUGAUGUGGAUCUUCGUUUUAGCUUUGGAAUCCAAGUAGGGGAAAUAAGGCAGACCUUUACAGAAAUUGAUUUUAUUAAAUUUCGUAAAGUGCUAUAAUAUUCUUGAUCUUUUUGGUUGAUUAAUGUGAUUGAAUAUUAAUUGGCUAAUUGCUUCAAUUAAGUGUUUACUUGUUAUUGGAUAUGGAAUUAAUGCUGGAAUGCUAUUCGUUGAGAAUAUACUAUGAUACAUGUGGAAGAUAAAUUGAUAUUAUUAUUUGUGCAUUAUUCAUGUUGAUGUGGUAGGAAUUUCAGUGUUCAGAUUGGAAGUAUGGAAAUGAGGGUAGUUGGAAAGGAUCUUUUGUGUAGUUGAAUCUAUUCAUUGUGAAACCAGUUCCAGGCGAGCCCGAUGUGCACAGUAGAAUAGGAUAUCGACGGGAAUUGUCGAUGUGGGUGAUUUGGGCUGGAGAUCAAUGAAUUAGAUAAGAUGACUAGCAAAAGGGGUUUAUGAACUUGGGAUAUCAUAUGGGGGUUAGUUUCUAUAAUAGAACAUUCGAACCACCUCUGCAAGGGUAAAAUGCAUGGUAUGGGACGUGCAGGUUCGCAUGUUUUAUUUUAUAAAUUAACGGGGGUAACUGAAGAGGUUGCAUGGCAUUCAUGCAUCGUUAUAAUUGCUGUUUUGAGAUUUGGCUAUAUGAUUUCAUGAUACUUAAUUUAAUAUUGUCAAUUUACUGUGAUAAGGUUAUGUCCCUACUGAGCUGUUGAAGCUCAUCCCUUUAUUAUUAUGCAGGUUUAUGAACUAGACAUUCAAGAGAAUAGGCAAGACGAGAUCGGAUUAGAUUGGAGAAUAGAAAGUUUAUUCAUCUCUUUACUGUAGGUUGUAAAGAAUUCUUGAUUUGUUUGAUAAUCAUGAAUUAUUUUAAAUAAGAGGAGUUUAUUUUCC